AUGAAAAGACAGAAAGAAAGAAAGAAAGAAAGAAGAAUCUCAAAUUAAACUGUUAUGUCUCAAGUGAUCACGAUUAGGGUGCCACUUCACUGUGAGAGAUGCAGGAGGAAGACUAUGACUAUAUGCAUGACUGCAGAUGGUGUUAAUUCUGCUGCUUUUGAAGGAAAAGACACAAUAGUGAUGAGAGGAGAAAGAGUAG